UUGAUUGAUAGCACAGAUUGAACCCAGGGGCACUUAACCACUGAGUCACAUCUCCAGUCCUUUUAUAUUUUUUAUUUUGAUAUGGGGUAUUGCUAAAUUGCUUAGGAUUUCAGUAAUUUGCUGAGGCUGGCUUUGAACUUAGGACACACCAGGCCUGACUGACAUUGCUUUUUUGUUUCUUUGUAGUAAACAUGGUGGUGGAAUGAAUGCCAUCAGUAGCUCCGGAGUAUCUCCCCUUGAUUCUCUGUCUUCUUUCUCCAUAUUCCUGUUGGAUUAGUAUACAUUUAGCAUUUACAAUUUGGUAGGAACAAAUAGCUUGACUCAUCAUUGCAUCUACCUCUAAGGUGGAAGUGGCAGCCUCUUUAACAGCUGUGCUGUAACACUGCUCAAUAUUUCAGGGCAGGAACUGAAGAAUGUAUAUCCAGUCAGAACUUUGGGGGACAUUUUGGGUCAUGGGUGACAUUUUAAAAAACUGUUGCUUUCUGAAAAGGGCUGCUGUAUCUAAUUAUGACUGGUUGGGCUUUCCAGCUGUCCCUGACAUCUGGAAAUUGUACAAAAGCUGGUAGAUAGAGCUUGGGCCUGGUAUGACUCUAUGACAAGGAUGUUCAUUAAUGAUUGAGUGGAAGAAAAUAAUACCCCAAAUAGCUCUGGAUUUCCCAAACCAAACCUCUGAACAGAGAAAAAUGGUGGCCUGUAAAGUAAAUCUCCACUCCUGUAGUUGGAGUGGACUUUGGUGCCAACAGUCAACUUUCUGUUAGUUAUGCCAGUAUAGGAAGAGACUGAUGACAGGUCAACUGAAGGUAGUAGAUUGCUUGAAAUUAAUAAUUUCUGUUGGACUUUGGCAAUGCAUUAUUAUUCUCUAUCCUGCUACCCCCAGCAGAUUUACCUGUCUAUUAAUAUUCUGUUUAGGCAAAUAUUUAAAUGAGUUGUUCCCUGAGCACACAUCUACUGAUGGUGGCAGAAGGCAGUCCAUAAGUCGGCUGGGUUUAAAAAUUAGCUGUGGCUAAAGAACACUCAGAGAGUUGGAAGUUGAUUUUAUUAUUUUGUCUGGACCAGUUUUAUUUUAUUUCUGUAUCUGUCAUUAUCUUGGAAAUAAAGAAAAGAUGAGAAAGUUAUAUGAGAGCAAGGGAAGUAAAAUGAAUUCAUAGACCCAGUGCUUUUUAUAUGGAAUAGAGAGGGAUUUGGGUUUUCCCAGUAGUUUAGCAAGUUAUUUGUUGAAUGCAUGUUGUGUGCCUUGUAUCAUGCUAGACACUAUUGGGGGCAGGCUAAUAAACCUUUGGACUGGUUGCAGCUUGAGUCAAUACUGAGAGUUUGAAAUCUUUUCAGUGAAUAUUGUGUAAUGAAAGGGAUAUAGAUAUACCUUUGUAUGAAUAAUAUAUAUAAAUUAGUUGAAUCCAUAGUUGAGUUUGAUCUGGGUUGAGAUAACAGAAAAAAAUAACCUGAUGAUGGUCUCUUCAAAAAUUUAGGUACAAGGUCCAGGAGACUUUAAAAAAAAAAAAAAGAAAUGAAUUAGGCAUCACUGUCCUAUGUGCAUAUAUGAAU
rnacentral:lncRNA from 1 species